GGAACUUUGGCGACGCGGCCGUGGCAUUUCUCGUUGGAACCGAGGAUGUCGCGGCUGUGUUCGAGGAGCAGGUGUUUCUC
rnacentral:tRNA from 1 species